rnacentral:miRNA from 17 species
CGUGACUAGUGUGGUUUCGGAGUCGGGAUUUUGGGGGCGAGAUGAGCUAAUGAUUUAUCCAACUGGCCCGCAAAGUCCCGCUUCUGGAAGUCACUUUGUUCUG